rnacentral:rRNA from 1 species
UACGUAGGGUCCGAGCGUUGUCCGGAUUUAUUGGGCGUAAAGAGCUCGUAGGCGGUUCCGUAAGUCAGAUGUGAAAACUCAGGGCUCAACCCGGAGACGCCAUCUGAUACUGCGGUGACUGGAGUCUGGUAGGGGAUCACGGAAUACCUGGUGUAGCGGUGAAAUGCGCAGAUAUCAGGAGGAACACCGGUGGCGAAGGCGGGUCUCUGGGCCGAUACUGACGCUGAGGAGCGAAAGCUAGGGGAGCAAACGGG